AAUCAACGCUGGCGGCGUGCCUAACACAUGCAAGUCGAGCGAGAAAAGGGGAGCAAUCCUCUGAGUAAAGCGGCGCACGGGUGAGUAACACGUGGGUAAUCUGCCCUGGAGUGGGGAAUAACACCGGGAAACCGGUGCUAAUACCGCAUACGAUCACGAUGUCUGCGGACGUUGUGAUGAAAGGAGCAAUUCGCUCCAGGAGGAGCCCGCGGCUGAUUAGCUAGNGGUGAGGUAAUGGCUCACCAAGGCUACGAUCAGUAUCCGGUCUGAGAGGACGGUCGGACACACUGGAACUGAGACACGGCCCAGACUCCUACGGGAGGCAGCAGUGGGGAAUUUUUCGCAAUGGGGCAACCCUGACGAAGCAACGCCGCGUGGAUGAUGAAGUAUCUCGGUACGUAAAAUCCUUUCGACAGGGAAGAAACCCGCAAGGGUUGACGGUACCUGUAGAAGAAGCCCGGCUAACUCCGUGCCAGCCGCCGCCGUAAUACCUGAGACGCCAAGGCAC
rnacentral:rRNA from 1 species